UACGUAGGGUGCAAGCGUUGUCCGGAAUUAUUGGGCGUAAAGCGCGUGUAGGCGGCUUUGCAAGUCGGGUGUGAAAGCCCUCAGCUCAACUGAGGAAGUGCGCCCGAAACUGCAGAGCUUGAGUGCCGGAGAGGGUGGCGGAAUUCCCCAAGUAGAGGUGAAAUUCGUAGAUAUGGGGAGGAACACCGGUGGCGAAGGCGGCCACCUGGACGGCAACUGACGCUGAGACGCGAAAGCGUGGGUAGCAAACAGG
rnacentral:rRNA from 1 species